rnacentral:rRNA from 1 species
AACUAACAAGGAUUCCCCUAGUAACUGCGAGUGAAGCGGGAAAAGCUCAAAUUUAUAAUCUGGCGCAAGCCCGAGUUGUAGUCUGUAGAAGCGUUUUCGGCCGUUGCCUUGGACAAGUCCCUUGGAACAGGGCGUCAUAGAGGGUGAGAAUCCCGUCCUUGCCAAGCUCCCAACGUCUUUGUGAUACGUCUUCCAAGAGUCGAGUUGUUUGGGAAUGCAGCUCAAAAUGGGUGGUAAAUUCCAUCUAAAGCUAAAUAUUGGCGAGAGACCGAUAGCGAACAAGUACCGUGAGGGAAAGAUGAAAAGAACUUUGAAAAGAGAGUUAAACAGUACGUGAAAUUGCUGAAAGGGAAGCGCUUGAAGUCAGUCGCGUUGGCAGGGACUCAGCCUUAACCGGUGCAUUUCCUUGUCGACGGGCCAACAUCGAUUUCGGCCGCGGAAUAAGGGCACGGGGAAUGUGGCAGCUUCGGCUGUGUUAUAGCCUCAUGUCGCACGCCGCGGACGGGAUCGAGGACCGCGGCUUUUGCCUAGGAUGUUGGCGUAAUGGCUUUAAGCGACCCGUC